rnacentral:lncRNA from 1 species
AGAGUUUGAAAUUUGAAAUGCUUAAAAAUUUUAAAAGUAUACAAAUAAUUAAAUUUGAAUAAUAGAUGAUAAAUAUAAUAUUGUAUGUGAAAAAAAAGAGAAACUAAUUAAAUGUAGAUGAUAGUAGUAUCUACAUUAUAUCAUAAAGCUUAUAAUGCAUUUCUUGAGAAGAAGCCUUUCGAUGCACAUGUUUAAAUUGCUGACGGGACUAGGGAAGGAAGAGCAAAAAAGUUUCUUAAUAUUUUUAUUUAUUAUUUGUCUUUACAUAUAAUUGUUUUGAUAACUGUUUAAAGUGUAAUUCCUAGGAAAAUUUAAGAGUCCAGAGCGGCAAUGUCACUUCUUUUGCAGCUCUCCCAUUUCAAGCAUGUGGGAAAACAAUAUUCUCGAAGAGGUUUAGAAAGUUCAAGAUAUCUUAAAUAUUAAUAGAGAUAUUUUGCAUUGGAAAGGUAUUUUGGGAUAAGGGCAUUGAGGAGGUUUCAUGGGGAUGUUUUGAGAUAAAUUUUGAAACAUUAUAAGUGGGAAAACAAUAUUCACGAAGAGGUUUAGAAAGUUCAAGAUAUCUUAAAUAUUAAUAGAGAUAUUUUGCAUUGGAAAGGUAUUUUGGGAUAAGGGCAUUGAGGAGGUUUCAAGGGGAUGUUUUGAGAUAAAUUUUGAAACAUUAUAAGAGUAUUCUAGGAUAGGGGCAUUCUAAGAAUAGGAAAAGUUUUCACAUUGUUAUUGGCAACACUUAUAUAGAAAUUCUGCAUGAGGUUUUGACAAAGGUAUUAUGAGAUAGGGGUAAUGAGAAGGAUUUUAAUAGAUGAAACAUUAUAAGAGUAUUCUAGUAUAUGGGCAUUUUGAGAAAACAAAAUGUUUGCACAUCAUUAUUGGCACACUUGUUUUUAGGAUAUUUGCAGAUGAAGACCUCUCUUAUCCUAAAAAUAUCCCCCAAAUUUCUUAAUAAUGGAAUAUAUCAGGUUUUUCCCAUUCUGCCCCUCAAUCGGCUCUUUAGAGGUUCUAAAUGGUAAGAUUCUUGUCGUUAUCGUUAAUUUUUCUGACCAACAUCAUUACUAGAAUUUAGAUCUUAAUUCUAUCUCAAAUUUGAAGAUAAUAGUGUUGAGGAGCAAUGCAGCUCACAAGUUAGAAGCUCCAAAGGGUUGAUUGACGAGUGGAAGGGAAAGAAACAUGAUAAAUAUUUCAAUUUCACUAAUGGAAAGUUAACCGGGGUCCUAUUGGACAAUUUCUAGAAUAAGGAGGUCUUUUAUUUGCAAAUAUGUAAAAUAUGUGUCUAUUUGUAUGCAAUUAAUCAAACAUAGAGAGGGCUUAUAUGCAAAUUCUCAAAACAAGGUUAAUUGCUGACAUAUUUGUAUAUGACCAACGGGCAUAUUCACCUUUUAUUUAAUUUUGUUCUAAAUUGAUAAACCGAAUGUGGAUAAAUUAAGGAUAUUUCUAUAAAAUUGUGGAAUCAAUGCUUCAUUAAAAAAGAGGAAGAUUGAAGCUCCACGCCAUUCUAUGAUCAACAACUAUCUUGAAUCAAUUAUUUUCACUCUUAUGAAAUAUUAUUAUAACAAACUAUUUUGUGGCCAUGAUGAAGCUACCCCUUGUUUGUUCAUCCAAUCCCACACCUGUCAUGUGCUCAUAUAUCCCUACUUGAAUCUACGACCGCUCUUUUUUCAUAUUUGUCUCUGCUGACCAUUUCUCUUUGCUUAUUUCGGUUUAACAAGAAUAGUAGAGAGAUAAGGCCCACAAUGAUAAUUGUUGAUUCACUCAGCAGGUGCAAUGAAUAAUCAUCUCCCACAUGUAAUCAUACACUGAAUCCAUAUAAAUAUCAACACAAGUACUCAAUAAAGUACAUCGACAAUAAUUCAUAGGUGACAAGUGUAAGAACAGGAAUGAUGUAAGGACCCCUAAAUCCACCACUCCCUAUGAACUUCUAAAACAUGACAAUCAAACAUAUUAUGUAACCCACACAAAUAUUUUAUUUACUAUGCUAAUGCAUUCUUGGGCUGAAGGGCAACAAAUAGGUGUACGUAAUUUAGUUCGGAUCCUCUCCAGUUCGAGGUUAAACUGGGGAGGUCUAGUUUUAAAUCACUGCAAAUACAUGUAUUGUGGAUGGUGGGGCCCAUGUAAUCACCGACCAUUCCAUAACAUACAGAGAACCGGCGAUUUUGGAACUGCACCUCUUCACCAUCUAGUAUUCCAUGACUCCUAAAAGCUGACGCUUAGGGAGAUACAAGCUGCAUAACUGGCACGAGCUAGCUACAUAUGAAGCCUAAAGAUAAAUGAUGUGCUGCGAAGAAACAACAAGAAGAAUAAGACAUCUAUUUAUCUAAAAUUUGGUAUGCAAUGCAUACUUUAGAGUUUACAUACAACUGCUAAAUGAUACCUGCAAUCGGGUUGAACGAGAAAGGUUUCUCCCAACAAAAAUAGCUAAAACUUAAAUGCAUGAAGAUAUUACGCUUUAAAGGUACUCCUAAAAAAAAAAUCUUGAUGGCAAAUGAAACAACCUAUUAAAC